GGCAGCAGUGGGGAAUAUUGGACAAUGGGGGCAACCCUGAUCCAGCCAUGCCGCGUGAGUGAUGAAGGCCUUCGGGUUGUAAAGCUCUUUUGGCGGGGACGAUGAUGACGGUACCCGCAGAAUAAGCCCCGGCUAACUUCGUGCCAGCAGCCGCGGUAAGACGAAGGGGGCUAGCGUUGUUCGGAAUUACUGGGCGUAAAGCGAGUGUAGGUGGUUGUCAUAGUCAGGUGUGAAAGCCUUGAGCUCAACUCAAGAAAUGCACUUGAUACUGGGCGACUAGAGGACCGGAGAGGAUAGUGGAAUUCCCAGUGUAGUGGUGAAAUACGUAGAGAUUGGGAAGAACACCAGUGGCGAAGGCGGCUAUCUGGACGGUUUCUGACACUAAGACUCGAAAGCGUGGGGAGCAAACAGGAUUAGAUACCCUGGUAGUCCACGCCGUAAACGAUGGGUGCUAGACGUUGGCGAGCUUGCUCGUCAGUGUCGCAGCUAACGCGUUAAGCACCCCGCCUGGGGAGUACGGCCGCAAGGUUGAAACUCAAAUGAAUGACGGAAUCGUCGACUGCAGCCGCCUUGUA
rnacentral:rRNA from 1 species